CAGUCGCCGCGGGAAUACGUAGGGUGCAAGCGUUGUCCGGAAUCAUUGGGCGUAAAGCGCGCGUAGGUGGCCAUUUAAGUCCGCUGUGAAAGUCAAAGGCUCAACCUUUGAAAGCCGGUGGAUACUGGAUGGCUAGAGUACGGAAGAGGCGAGUGGAAUUCCUGGUGUAGCGGUGGAAUGCGCAGAUAUCAGGAGGAACACCAAUAGCGAAGGCAGCUCGCUGGGACGUUACUGACACUGAGGCGCGAAAGCGUGGGGAGCGAACAGGAUUAGAUACCCCCGUAGUCCCUGUCUCUUAUAC
rnacentral:rRNA from 1 species